ensembl:lncRNA
GGGUUGGGAAAAUCCCCUGGAGAAGGGAAAGGCUACCCACUCCAGUAUUCUGGCCUGGAGAAUUCCAUGGACUAUACAGUCCACUGGGGAAGGCAGUGGCACCCCACUCUAGUACUCUUGCCUGGAAAAUCCUAUGGAUGGAGGAGCCUGGUAGGCUGCAGUCCAUGGGAAACAGACCGCAGAGGGCACAGGCAGGCAGCAAAGGAAACCAGAUGGAUCUGGAGUCAGUGUAGCCCCCGGAAGAGGGUGAAGUCUCACCCCAAAGUGGAGGAUGAGGCACGCUUUCUGCAUACACCACUGGGAGAUCAUGAACCUCUUAAAAGAAAGGGAAGCCAGCGCGUAGAAGUUCCUGGCUUGGGGCUCUUCCAUCCAUGGAAUUCUGCAGGCAAGAGUACUGGAGUGGGUUGUCAUUUCCUUCUCCAGGGGAUCUUCUCCACCCAGGGAUCGAACCUGAGUCUCUUGCAUCUCCUGUGUUGGCAAGUGGAUUCUUUACCACUGCACGACCUGAGAAGCCCCUGGACACCAAGAGGGGAAUUCAAAAACACUGAGCUAGAGAGAGCUUGCAUCUUCCUCUGUCCUUGACUCCUGACCCUCACCAUUUGGAGAAUUAGAGGGUUUGAAGACCAGAGGAGAGACAGGUGCCAUUUGUUAACUGAGAUCUUCACCCAACCUUUAUUGUGCACCUACUAUGUGCCAGAUACUCCAUCAGAUGCUGGAGAUAGAUGGAUGACUCAGAUUCAGCCCUGGGACACAGAGGCUUUCCAGUGCAGUGAGGGAGCCAGCAUGGUGAUCUGAGCUACAGGAGGGAGGGGCACGGACGGAGCCCCUGCAUUAGCCAGUAGCGGCCAAGAGAGAGGAGCCUCUGUCCCUGCCUAGCAGAUCAGGAGGACGUCACCGAGAGAUGCCACCCCGAUGAGCUCAGAAAUGCAAGAGGACAUGUGCCAACCGGAGAAAAGAGAGGAUUUGGUGUGGGGACUCCUCGGGGUGGCAGAGCUGAGCAGGCGUGGGCAGGUUGCC